rnacentral:rRNA from 1 species
GGAGUGGCAGACGGGUGAGUAACGCGUGGGAAUCUACCCAGUUCUACGGAACAACACAGGGAAACUUGUGCUAAUACCGUAUACGCCCUACGGGGGAAAGAUUUAUCGGAAUUGGAUGAGCCCGCGUAAGAUUAGCUAGUUGGUGGGGUAAUGGCCUACCAAGGCGACGAUCUUUAGCUGGUCUGAGAGGAUGAUCAGCCACACUGGGACUGAGACACGGCCCAGACUCCUACGGGAGGCAGCAGUGGGGAAUAUUGGACAAUGGGCGCAAGCCUGAUCCAGCCAUGCCGCGUGAGUGAUGAAGGCCUUAGGGUUGUAAAGCUCUUUCAGUGGGGACGAUAAUGACGGUACCCACAGAAGAAGCCCCGGCUAACUUCGUGCCAGCAGCCGCGGUAAUACGAAGGGGGCUAGCGUUGUUCGGAUUUACUGGGCGUAAAGCGCACGUAGGCGGAUCGUUAAGUCGGGGGUGAAAUCCUGGAGCUCAACUCCAGAACUGCCUUCGAUACUGGCGAUC